UUGGUCAGAUAAGAUAAUUCGCAGUCCAACAUGAAUUCGAGGAACAUUUGUGGAGCCUUGAUGUUUAUGUUGUUCCUCUUUGCAUUCCCUGUGCAAUCUCGUCCUUAUCAGGAGCUCAAUGUUAGAUCUGAAAGGAGCCUGGCAUAUAUCCUCACCAACACAACACCAGAUCCGAAUAAAUUGUCAAUAAAAUUUUGUGUGCUGCGUGAGUGCCCAAAUAAACAGUCAUGCUAUUGUUGCUUGACGCAAAAACCAGAUCAAUUGUGUUACUACAAGUUGGAUGAAUGUCGGGCUGUGUGCCCUAAUUGUGAUCCCAUCUGCCCGCCUAUCCCAUCGCCAUCUGCAUAACUGAUCUAUACAUCUUAUUGUAGGCUCUGGUCUUAAACUUUUCGUAGCAGUACAUCUAAAUAAUGUAUUGAAAAUUGAUAUAUAAUUCUAAGGGAGUUGUUUGUUAUUUUCA